CAGUCGCCACGGUAAUACGAAGGGUGCAAGCGUUAAUCGGAAUUACUGGGCGUAAAGCGUGCGUAGGCGGUUUGUUAAGUCUGUUGUGAAAUCCCCGGGCUCAACCUGGGAAUGGCAAUGGAUACUGGCAAGCUAGAGUGUGUCAGAGGAUGGUGGAAUUCCCGGUGUAGCGGUGAAAUGCGUAGAGAUCGGGAGGAACAUCAGUGGCGAAGGCGGCCAUCUGGGACAACACUGACGCUGAGGCACGAAAGCGUGGGGAGCAAACAGGAUUAGAGACCCGCGUAGUCCCUGUCUCUUAUAC
rnacentral:rRNA from 1 species